rnacentral:rRNA from 1 species
AUUGAACGCUGGCGGCAGGCUUAACACAUGCAAGUCGAGCGGGGAAGGUUGCUUUGGUAACUGACCUAGCGGCGGACGGGUGAGUAAUGCUUAGGAAUCUGCCUAUUAGUGGGGGACAACAUUCCGAAAGGAAUGCUAAUACCGCAUACGCCCUACGGGGGAAAGCAGGGGAUCUUCGGACCUUGCGCUAAUAGAUGAGCCUAAGUCGGAUUAGCUAGUUGGUGGGGUAAAGGCCUACCAAGGCGACGAUCUGUAGCGGGUCUGAGAGGAUGAUCCGCCACACUGGGACUGAGACACGGCCCAGACUCCUACGGGAGGCAGCAGUGGGGAAUAUUGGACAAUGGGCGGAAGCCUGAUCCAGCCAUGCCGCGUGCGUGAAGAAGGCCUUUUGGUUGUAAAGCACUUUAAGCGAGGAGGAGGCUCCUUUAGUUAAUACCUAAAGAGAGUGGACGUUACUCGCAGAAUAAGCACCGGCUAACUCUGUGCCAGCCGCCGCAGUAA